GAUGAACGCUGGCGGCGUGCCUAAUACAUGCAAGUCGAGCGAACAGACGAGGAGCUUGCUCCUCUGACGUUAGCGGCGGACGGGUGAGUAACACGUGGAUAACCUACCUAUAAGACUGGGAUAACUUCGGGAAACCGGAGCUAAUACCGGAUAAUAUAUUGAACCGCAUGGUUCAAUAGUGAAAGACGGUUUUGCUGUCACUUAUAGAUGGAUCCGCGCCGCAUUAGCUAGUUGGUAAGGUAACGGCUUACCAAGGCGACGAUGCGUAGCCGACCUGAGAGGGUGAUCGGCCACACUGGAACUGAGACACGGUCCAGACUCCUACGGGAGGCAGCAGUAGGGAAUCUUCCGCAAUGGGCGAAAGCCUGACGGAGCAACGCCGCGUGAGUGAUGAAGGUCUUCGGAUCGUAAAACUCUGUUAUUAGGGAAGAACAGAUGUGUAAGUAACUAUGCACGUCUUGACGGUACCUAAUCAGAAAGCCACGGCUAACUACGUG
rnacentral:rRNA from 1 species